rnacentral:piRNA from 1 species
UGAGAUGUUUUGAUGCUUAAUAACUCACC